AUGAACGCUGGCGGCGUGCCUAAUACAUGCAAGUCGAGCGAACAGACGAGGAGCUUGCUCCUCUGACGUUAGCGGCGGACGGGUGAGUAACACGUGGAUAACCUACCUAUAAGACUGGGAUAACUUCGGGAAACCGGAGCUAAUACCGGAUAAUAUAUUGAACCGCAUGGUUCAAUAGUGAAAGACGGUUUUGCUGUCACUUAUAGAUGGAUCCGCGCCGCAUUAGCUAGUUGGUAAGGUAACGGCUUACCAAGGCGACGAUGCGUAGCCGACCUGAGAGGGUGAUCGGCCACACUGGAACUGAGACACGGUCCAGACUCCUACGGGAGGCAGCGGUAGGGAAUCUUCCGCAAUGGGCGAAAGCCUGACGGAGCAACGCCGCGUGAGUGAUGAAGGUCUUCGGAUCGUAAAACUCUGUUAUUAGGGAAGAACAAAUGUGUAAGUAACUAUGCACGUCUUGACGGUACCUAAUCAGAAAGCCACGGCUAACUACGUG
rnacentral:rRNA from 1 species